UUCAAUUGAGCCAUGUCACCCUGCAGCCCAAGACCGGUUACUCACUGAAGCUAAGCAGGGCUGAGCCUGGUCAGUACCUGGAUGGGAGACCACUAGGGAACACUAGGUUGCUGUUGGAA
rnacentral:rRNA from 1 species